AGUGGGCCCUUGUGGAGAAGACUGCAUUCGAGCAGAAACUUGAAGGGGGUGAGGGGUGAGCCUUGAGAUAUCUGGGGCAGAGCAGUCCAGGCAGAGGGUACAGCCGGUGUCAAGGACAGGAGCGUGCCUGGUGUGCCAGUUUUGGGCAAGAGGCCAGUGUGCAGAGGCAAGGAGAUCAUGCACGCCCUGAAGAUGACCUGGCACGUGCACUGCUUUACCUGUGCUGCCUGCAAGAUGCCCAUCCGGAACAGGGCCUUCUACAUGGAGGAGGGCGUGCCCUAUUGCGAGCGAGACUAUGAGAAGAUGUUUGGCACAAAAUGCCAUGGCUGUGACUUCAAGAUCGACGCUGGGGACCGCUUCCUGGAGGCCCUGGGCUUCAGCUGGCAUGACACCUGCUUCG
rnacentral:sRNA from 1 species